GUGCUCCACAUGAGUAAGGAAAAUAACAAUUCAGAGUGACACCUGAAUCCUCACUGCUUAUGUGAGAUGACUUUUUGAGUGGGUAAAGGUUGCCCCAAAGGUGAUCUCCUACUUUGUGGGAUGCCUGGGUGUCACAAUCUGACCA
ensembl:snRNA U12 U12 minor spliceosomal RNA